UUUUUGGAGAGUUUGAUCCCGGCUCAGGAUAAACGCUGGCGGUGUGCUUUAUGCAUGCAAGUCGAACGCCCUGGCGCAAGUCAGGGAGUGGCAGACGGGUGAGUAACACGUAAGCAACCUGUCCUUAAGUGGGGAACAACUCUGAGAAAUCGGAGCUAAUACCGCAUGUGGUCCUCCUGCAAAUGUGGGAGGACCAAAGCCGCAAGGCGCUUGAGGAGGGGCUUGCGCCCGAUUAGCUAGUUGGUGAGGUAACGGCCCACCAAGGCGACGAUCGGUAGCUGGUUUGAGAGGACGACCAGCCACACUGGGACUGAGACACGGCCCAGACUCCUACGGGAGGCAGCAGCAAGGAAUAUUGGGCAAUGGGCGAAAGCCUGACCCAGCGACACCGCGUGGGGGAAGAAGGCCUUCGGGUUGUAAACCCCUUUUAUCGGGGAAGAAUAAUGACGGUACCCGGUGAAUAAGCCUCGGCUAACUACGUGCCAGCAGCCGCGGUAAUACGUAGGAGGCAAGCGUUAUCCGGAUUUACUGGGCGUAAAGCGGGCGUAGGCGGUCUGUCAAGUCGGAUGUGAAAUCUCCCGGCCCAACUGGGAGGGUGCAUUCGAAACUGAUGGACUGGAGUGCAGCAGAGGGAAGCGGAAUUCCCGGUGUAGUGGUGAAAUGCGUAGAUAUCGGGAA
rfam:Chloroflexi bacterium RBG_16_56_11 RBG_16_scaffold_7137, whole genome shotgun sequence.